GACGAACGCUGGCGGCGUGCUUAACACAAGCAAGUCGAGCGGAAAGGCCCUUCGGGGUACUCGAGCGGCGAACGGGUGAGUAACACGUGAGUAAUCUGCCCUGCACUCUGGGAUAGCCUUGGGAAACUGAGAUUAAUACCGGAUAUGUUCACUUCCCGCAUGGGAUGGUGGUGGAAAGUUUUUCGGUGCAGGAUGUGCUCGCGGCCUAUCAGCUUGUUGGUGGGGUAAUGGCCUACCAAGGCUUCGACGGGUAGCCGGCCUGGGAGGGUGACCGGCCACACGGGGACUGAGACACGGACCAGACUCCUACGGGAGGCAGCAGUGGGGAAUAUUGGACAAUGGGCGGAAGCCUGAUCCAGCAACGCCGCGUGAGGGAUGACGGCCUUCGGGUUGUAAACCUCUUUCAGCACAGACGAAGCGCAAGUGACGGUAUGUGCAGAAGAAGGACCGGCCAACUACGUGCCAGCCGCCGCCGUAA
rnacentral:rRNA from 1 species